GUAGUUAGCCGGGGCUUUCUUACAGGGUACCGUCACUUCUUCGUCCCCUGCGACAGAGGUUUACAAUCCGAAAACCUUACUUCCCUCACGCGGCGUUGCUGGGUCAGGCUUGCGCCCAUUGCCCAAUAUUCCCCACUGCUGCCUCCCGUAGGAGUCUGGACCGUGUCUCAGUUCCAGUGUGGCCGAUCAGCCUCUCAGCUCGGCUACCCAUCGUCGGCUUGGUGGGCUGUUAUCUCACCAACUACCUAAUGGGACGCGAACCCCUCUAAAAGCGAUAAAUCUUUGACCUCUUCCCGAUGCCGGGUUGUGGUCUUAUGCGGUAUUAGCAGUUGUUUCCACCUGUUAUUCCCCACUCUUAGGCAGGUUGUUCACGCGUUACUCACCCGUGCGCCACUAGAAUUAUCAAUUCCAUCCGAAAACUUCCUUAAUAAUCCCCGUUCGACUUGCAUGUGUUAGGCACGCCGCCAGCGUUCGUCCUGAGCCAGAAUACAAACUACUGA
rnacentral:rRNA from 1 species